rnacentral:rRNA from 1 species
CCUACGGGUGGCAGCAGUGAGGAAUAUUGGUCAAUGGACGAGAGUCUGAACCAGCAAAGUAGCGUGAAGGAUGACUGCCCUAUGGGUUGUAAACUUCUUUUAUAUGGGAAUAAAAUGUUCCACGUGUGGGUUUUUGUAUGUACCAUAUGUAUAAGGAUCGGCUAACUCCGUGCCAGCAGCCGCGGUAAUACGGAGGAUCCGAGCGUUAUCCGGAUUUAUUGGGUUUAAAGGGAGCGUAGGUGGAUUGUUAAGUCAGUUGUGAAAGUUUGCGGCUCAACCGUAAAAUUGCAGUUGAAACUGGCAGUCUUGAGUACAGUAGAGGUGGGCGGAAUUCGUGGUGGAGCGGUGAAAUGCUUAGAUAUCACGAAGAACUCCGAUUGCGAAGGCAGCUCACUGGACUGCAACUGACACUGAGGCUCGAAAGUGUGGGUAUCAAACAGGAUUAGAUACCCGAGUAGUC